UGUCGGUGCGCAUGCGUGAGCUCCAGCUGAGCGAGGCCGGGGCUCCAAGACCUCUGGCGCGAGUGCUGGUGCUUGGGGCCCGGGGAGGGCCGUCGCCAUGGCAGCGCCGGCCACGCGGUGAGGGUGCUGCCCUCCCGGCUGGUAGCUCCCGCAGCUUCACUGCCUGCUGGUGGGAACCGUGCGAUUCCGCCCCGACUGGGCGCCUGCCGAGUGCCUCACCAGCCAGACGAGCACCCGGUAAAGACUGCCAGGCAAUAAUGAAGGUUCUUUUACUGAAAGACCCUAAGGAGGACGACUGUGGCCAGGAUCCCUACAUCCGGGAAUUAGGAUUAUAUGGACUCGAAGCCACUUUGAUCCCUGUUUUAUCAUUUGAGUUUUGGUCUCUUCCCAGUUUUUUGGAGAAGCUGUCUCACCCUGAAGGUUACGGGGGCCUCAUUUUUACCAGCCCCAGAGCAGUGGAAGCAGUGGAGCUGUGUUUGGAGAAAGACAAUAAAACCGAAGUCUGGAGAAAGUCUCUGCAAGAAAAAUGGAAUGCUAAGUCAGUGUAUGUGGUGGGAAAUGCUACUGCUUCUCUAGUGAAUAAAAUUGGCCUGCAUACAGAAGGAGAAAACUGUGGAAAUGCAGAAAAGCUUGCAGAGUACAUUUGUUCUAGGGAGUCGUCAGCACUGCCUCUUCUGUUUCCCUGUGGAACCCUCAAAAGAGAAAUCCUGCCGAAAAUGCUCAAGGACAAAGGGAUUCCCGUGGAGAGCUUAACCGUCUACCAGACGAUCCCACACCCAGGGAUCCAGGGGAACCUCAACAGCUACUAUUCCCAGCAGCUGUGCCACUUUGAGGAGGCCAUCUGUUGGCUCCAUCUCUGUAUCUGGGAAGUCGGAAUAGACCCAUCUCUAAGGUUUUUACAAGGAUUAAGGGAGAUAAUUUACACAAAGCCCUUUGCACAGCCUGGGGUCAACAGUGGCUUGAUGUCAUGCUUCAUGGUGUGGGGCACUGGUGGAGCUGCAGGGCAGAGGCUGGAGAGGGGCUGGGCCCACGCUGGGAAGGCCUUCAGGGCCCACGGGGGAGUCUGGAUUGAAUUUGGGAGGCCGCGGGAACCUUUGGAGGCUUCAGUCAGAAGGGUGCACGGUUCUUGUUUGGGCUGAUUGAGGUUUUCCACAUCUGUAUCCAGUAAGACGCCUCCCCUUCCUCUCCCAGGACAGGCUUCUGAAUGCCUGGCUGGUACUCGGAGACCCUGUUAGCACAAACCAAAGCUUUCAGAAAGGCCAGGGCAUUCCCGCCAGCAUCACGUUUUUCAGUCCCUCUGGCCUGACACACAGUCUCAAGCAUAUUCAAGAGUUAUCUGGUGACAACAUUGACCAGAUUAAGUUCGUGGCCAUUGGGCCCACCACAGCCCACG